GGCCUAACACAUGCAAGUCGAGCGGAUGAGGGAAGCUUGCUUCCCAAUUUAGCGGCGGACGGGUGAGUAAUGCCUAGGAAUCUGCCUAUUAGUGGGGAUAACGUUCCGAAAGGAACGCUAAUACCGCAUACGUCCUACGGGAGAAAGUGGGGGAUCUUCGGACCUCACGCUAAUAGAUGAGCCUAGGUCGGAUUAGCUAGUUGGUGGGGUAACGGCUCACCAAGGCGACGAUCCGUAGCUGGUCUGAGAGGAUGAUCAGCCACACUGGAACUGAGACACGGUCCAGACUCCUACGGGAGGCAGCAGUGGGGAAUAUUGGACAAUGGGCGAAAGCCUGAUCCAGCCAUGCCGCGUGUGUGAAGAAGGUCUUCGGAUUGUAAAGCACUUUAAGUUGGGAGGAAGGGUUGUAAGCUAAUAUCUUGCAGCUUUGACGUUACCAACAGAAUAAGCACCGGCUAACUCUGUGCCAGCAGCCGCGGUAAUACAGA
rnacentral:rRNA from 1 species